GGAGAUAUGGUUCAUUUGGUAGAGUGCUUGCCUGGCAUGCAAGAAGCCCUGGGUUCAAUUCCCAGUAGCACAU
rnacentral:tRNA from 1 species